ACGAAAAAAUGAAACUUUGAUAGCCUGUAGAGUUUCGGGCGCUGAGUCGAAUGGUCUUGGUCCGAAGUCUCUACGACGAAGCGUUCUUGAGAUAUUUCACUUUGAAAUUGCAAAAACGGGGGCCGCGCCCUGACGUCAUGCGGCCAUUUGGUUACAUCAUCACGGGCUGCCUACGUCAUUGUGGCAAAGUCGUUUCUCUUCGCCAGUCUACAAGCACUAAUUUUAGUUGGUAUUUCAAGGGAAGAUGGGCGAUUCCGAACAAUCCUCUGUCCCCAGCAAUGAAGGCAGCGAUGCUGAGGCCAGUGAGGACGACCAACAGCCCACCGCCGCGUAUGGUUGGGGCAGGGAGCCCAGAUACUCUGCUGAGGAGCUGCCAUCGCGUGUAACAAAUGUGGAGGAAGAAGAUGCGUCAGCAGCUGCGUCCGACAGAAGACGAGUAGCUUGGCCACCAGAAUCUCGAUUCGUUUGGGACUCCGACUGGUGCGAGCGUGGACAAAAGUGUAUAGCCAUGCCCAGCCCGCGGGAAUGAUUUUGCUGGUAGGAUGCUGCCGUCGCUGUCGACAAGACGGCCCAAGGUUUCUUGCGUAGCGGACCUCGCAGAUUACGAGAUCGUAUCCUUGCAUUAGGCUGUGCUCAUCACUGCUCUUCGAGGUUAUCUCGACAUGCAGAAGCCGCCAAUGCCAGUGACAGAAGAGUCUGACAUUAGAUCUCUACGCUAUGCGGCACACAGGCAGUACACACUAUGUACACGGCAAAUUGGGCAAGCACGUUCGUUGUCGUCUUCCAGCCUGCGUUGUGAAUACCAUCAGGCAAAGAUAUCCAAAUCCUGCACCACCUCAGCCUUCUCAGGAGGCUUCCACCUGGAAUUUGGCAGGGAAACACGCUUCUCCAAGGCAGGAACAUGGAGGUUGCCAUUUGCAACCGCUACCACCUCACACAUGAGCUUGUCAACAUACUCAUAGCUCUUUCUGUCGUAUAAUUUUCUAUUUGGCCACAGUCUUCUUUAUGCUUUGAGAACUGGACUUUAUACCUUCC